CUAGUCUGACUUUCUAGGAUUCACUCAUUUCCGCGGUCAGAAGUUCAAAGUCACCGUAAGCACUGCCCAAACCAGGGGACAUCGUUCCCCUGGCUGGGAAAACUUCCGACACCACUGAAUGCUAUGUUUCCGAAUGGCUCUGUUCUCCUGAGCAACAAAAAGGGCCAUUUCCCAGCAUUUCCUUUAUCGCCCCCUCUUCUGGUCUGUUCUUUAGAAACCUGUGGUUCUCGGACCAGCCCUGAGAACCUCCAGUGCGAGGCCUGGAGUUUAAGCACCCCUCCCCCCACCCCGCCCAGGGCUAUGGUCAUAACUCGUCAAGAGUCAGGCGCUGUGGGAGGCGAAGCCGGGAGGGCCGGUCCACGUGCUUAGUCAGUGCGGGGCCUCAAGUCCCUGCUUCUCUUGAUUAACCCUUAACUAAGGUGCACAUAGGACAGGUGACCACCAAUGCAAGGGGGCCCGGAAGCCACCCUCGAUUCAGCGCCUCUGCCAGAGGGACACUUGGUAUCUGCCCACGGGAUUCCUGUGAAGGCCCUGGGUGGCUCUGGUCUUGCCGUCCGUGACCCUGACUCUGAAAUCACGGCGGUGGUCAAUCGCGGGGACGCCUGUGUCUGGCCCUAGCUCCCUCGUCCGCGCGGCCUAGAUGCAGAAGUUGGCAGCGGUGUCCUGAACUGGGACGCGGGACUGUCACUGAGCACCCGUCCCCAGCACCCCCCAGCCCCGGCUUUGCCGAGUUCCCACAGCUGUGGCUGCCCGGCCCCGCCCCAAAACCCUCGCACACCUGUCUGCAGGCCUCCUCUUGGCCCGCCAGCCCAAGCCGCCAGCAGGCUUUCAAGGCCUGGGCCUGUGGGCGGAAUCGGCCCAGGGAGGUAUUUACUUAAAAUCGCACAGGAAGGUGAAACUAGGUUCAAAGAAAUCCUUUUGUAGAUGGUUCGUUAAAAAUGCCAAAGAGGCUGACCAUUCACAUUCUCUGAAUGUGUCCGAUUCAUGCAAGCAAGGGACGGGUCGGGGUUCAUCCGCGGCUGCUGCCCACGUGGGCCCUGUGGUCAUGGAGUGUCCCGUCAGCCCUUCUGCAGCUGUUUGCUGUCCCCCAGGGAGCUGGGCUGGGGGGCGCUCUGUGGGGCUGAGAAGGACACAGGGUGGCCUGGAGACGGGUAUCCUAGCCUUGCCUUUUCUCAGAACCCCUACGCAAGUGUGGAAUUGAGCAUUUUGCAAACGGAGACACAAAGAAGCACAGGAUACGGGACCCGACCACGCGGCCUAUCGUCUCGUUGAGGAGACCGCACACUUCUAGAAAAGGGCCGCGGAAGGCAGAGGAUUACGUGUCCUAACGAGGGUUCCAUACCCUAUAUUCCGUGGCCACCUCCGAGGCGGGCCGGACCAACGGGAUGAGCACUGGACCAGGAGUCCCAAGACUUGGAGUUCAGGUCGGCCUCCAACUAGGCCAAUCCCUGUGAUUCCCUGGGCCUCGGGUGUCUCAGAAGUAAAAUAAAGGGCACGGAGCAAAGAAGAAUAAGGUCCCUUUCAGCUACAACAGUUUGCCGUUCCCACUUGACCUUGUGGAGCAGCAGUUAUGGGCUCUCCUGUUGGAGUUCACCCAAGGAAACGGGACAGGACUCGAAGACCCUACUGAAACCACCACAGACAGGGCUCCUGUCCUCCUGCGGAACAAGGAGACACAAGACACCAACCCUCUUGGACCAGCCACAGAAUCACGGCCGAGAAUUCAGGCAAAUGACGGUUCUACAGAGCUGGCAAUCUACAACAACGUCCGGAUGAAGAUGAACAGACCUCGAGAGGGGCGAUCUCAAUAAACCACUUAACGGGCAGAAAUGCCGAGGCGA